UACGAAGGGGGCUAGCGUUGCUCGGAAUUACUGGGCGUAAAGCGCACGUAGGCGGAUUGUUAAGUCGGGGGUGAAAUCCUGGAGCUCAACUCCAGAACUGCCUUCGAUACUGGCGAUCUCGAGUUCGGGAGAGGUGAGUGGAACUGCGAGUGUAGAGGUGAAAUUCGUAGAUAUUCGCAAGAACACCAGUGGCGAAGGCGGCUCACUGGCCCGAUACUGACGCUGAGGCACGAAAGCGUGGGAGCAAACAGGG
rnacentral:rRNA from 1 species